UACGUAGGGUGCGAGCGUUAAUCGGAAUUACUGGGCGUAAAGCGUGCGCAGGCGGUUUUGUAAGCCAGAUGUGAAAUCCCCGGGCUUAACCUGGGAAUGGCAUUUGGGACUGCAAGGCUUGAGUGCGGCAGAGGAGACUGGAAUUCCUGGUGUAGCAGUGAAAUGCGUAGAUAUCAGGAGGAAUACCGAUGGCGAAGGCAGGUCUCUGGGCUGACACUGACGCUCAUGCACGAAAGCGUGGGGACAAACAGGAUUAC
rnacentral:rRNA from 1 species